GCCGGGCGUGGUGGCGGGCGCCUGUAGUCCCAGCUACUUGGGAGGCUGGGGCAGGAGAAUCGCUUGAACCCAGGAGGUGGAGGUUGCAGUGAGCCGAGAUUGCACCACUGCACUCCACCCUGGGUGACACAGCGAGACUGUCUCAA
rnacentral:SRP_RNA from 1 species